AUUGAACGCUGGCGGCAGGCCUAACACAUGCAAGUCGAACGGUAACAGGAAGAAGCUUGCUUCUUUGCUGACGAGUGGCGGACGGGUGAGUAAUGUCUGGGAAACUGCCUGAUGGAGGGGGAUAACUACUGGAAACGGUAGCUAAUACCGCAUAACGUCGCAAGACUAAAGAGGGGGACCUUCGGGCCUCUUGCCAUCGGAUGUGCCCAGAUGGGAUUAGCUAGUAGGUGGGGUAACGGCUCACCUAGGCGACGAUCCCUAGCUGGUCUGAGAGGAUGACCAGCCACACUGGAACUGAGACACGGUCCAGACUCCUACGGGAGGCAGCAGUGGGGAAUAUUGCACAAUGGGCGCAAGCCUGAUGCAGCCAUGCCGCGUGUAUGAAGAAGGCCUUCGGGUUGUAAAGUACUUUCAGCGGGGAGGAAGGGAGUAAAGUUAAUACCUUUGCUCAUUGACGUUACCCGCAGAAGAAGCACCGGCUAACUCCGUG
rnacentral:rRNA from 1 species